AAAAGUCAUUCUAGUGUAUAAACCAUUACAUGGAUUAAUGCCAGAUUUUUUAAAAAUGUUAUCAAAUAUGUAUCAGAAGUUAGCCAAGCAAACAAGGAAUUCUAAUUCUAAUGCACUGUAUGUAUCCAGAAUAAAGACUGAGUAUUACAAAAGAUUUUUCAGUGUUUGAGGUAGUAAUAUGUGGAAUGCCUUGAGUGAAAGUAUUAGAAAUUCGACAAGUAUAGCUCCACAGAUAUGCGAUGCAAUUACCUGUUUCAUGUCAAACAUUGCGCAAUCCUUUUUGUAAAGGUCAUAGCCUAGAUAAAACACAGUCAAAGGUUCUACACAAGUGUGAUCAUCUUCCUGCACAAAUAUAGGAAAUCAACCAGGCAAAGCGAGCUAAAGUACUUUAUUAUUUUUAGAUGGGGAGCUUAAACAUGGAAAGGUUGAGAGAUUUACCUUGGAAUUUUCUGGCUAUUCUUCUUUUUGUGUUACUCGGUCAACACACGUAUGUUCUAUGUAAGUUCGCUUAUUCUUUUACACUGGAUUUUCAUGGACCAUACGCACCACGUGACACCUAUAAUACAUCAUGCUAUGUUGAAACAUCUGGUGACGACAGCGUAUCAGAUGUUGACGUCUAUUUGAGUUUUGGUAGUAUUACUUACUGCAACAACAGCCAAGUGGUACCGGUGGGCAGAAAUCAGAGUUGUUCCGAAGCUACAGG